CCUUAUGGGGAGUUUUGAUGAAAUAUUAACAUGAUUUGACGUUUUGUGGUUUUUAAGGUUGUGUAUUGUUUGUGUUGACAGGAAAGUGGGCGACUCCGUUUGACCCCCGGCUCACCGAGCAGGACGACUUCCACGUGGACGAGAACACAAAGGUUCGAACCGCCAUGAUGAACAUGGAGGAACUUUUUCACACCUAUCACGACCACGUGCUGAACACCACGGUCCUCCAGCUGCCCUUCAACAGCUCCUACUCCAUGCUGCUGAUGUUACCUGACGUCAUGGCCACGCUGGAGAACGCCAUCUGCCCCAACCACGUCA